rnacentral:rRNA from 1 species
UACGUAGGGGGCAAGCGUUGUCCGGAUUCAUUGGGCGUAAAGAGCGUGUAGGCGGCCAGGUAGGUCGGUUGUGAAAACUGGAGGCUCAACCUUCAGAGGUCGACCGAAACCAUCUGGCUAGAGUCCGGGAGAGGAGAAUGGAAUUCCUGGUGUAGCGGUGAAAUGCGCAGAUAUCAGGAAGAACACCCGUGGCGAAGGCGGUUCUCUGGGACGGUACUGACGCUGAGACGCGAAAGCGUGGGGAGCGAACAGG